rnacentral:rRNA from 1 species
UACGUAGGAGGCAAGCGUUGUCCGGAAUUAUUGGGCGUAAAGCGCGUGUAGGCGGCUUUGCAAGUCGGGUGUGAAAGCCCUCAGCUUAACUGAGGAAGUGCGCCCGAAACUGCAGAGCUUGAGUACCGGAGAGGGUGGCGGAAUUCCCCAAGUAGAGGUGAAAUUCGUAGAUAUGGGGAGGAACACCGGUGGCGAAGGCGGCCACCUGGACGGAUACUGACGCUGAGACGCGAAAGCGUGGGUAGCAAACAGG